ensembl:lncRNA
GGGAAAUCUCUCACCAAAAUAUUGAUGGUAGUUAUUUCUGAUUGAUGGCUUUAUGCUGAUUAAAAUUAUUUCACUAUUUUUUUGUGAACAAUGCAAGUACUACUAAAAGUAAUCCCUUAGAAAGGCAUACCAUUGUAAAAAUAGCAAUUUUUCUGCCCUGUUAUAGCUUGUUUAUCAUUUGUGUUUAAAAGCUGUAAAAUGACUUAAAUUCUAUUACCAGGGGCCGUAUGGAAAGCUCUACUCUUCAUGUACUUUUGGUACCAGGGUUGGUUUUUAUUCAGUAGUGACUGUUCAGAACACUUUGGUGGGCCCAGCUUUUCAAAGCCCUCUUCAUCUCUUGCUACCCCCACAACCAACAAAUGCUUUCCAUGAGCCCUAUCACUGGGGCUUCAGGCCAGCUGUGUCCCUAAUCCACCCACGUCCCAGAUUUGGGAAUGGUUCAUUCUCCAACUGUUCCCCCACCUACCCCUGCUUUCUUCCAGUCUCAUCUCUUCCAGGUCAUCGGAGGCCCCAUCUCCCCUCCCUGGCCUUCCUCAGUGGCCACCACCUAAUUUCACCCUCUUCUGUGCAGCUGGUGUUGCUUUUUUGCUGGAGCUCAGUUUGUAAUGGGGAAGGAUUAGGACCCUUUCAUGCCAUCUUUUUUCUUUUUUUCUUUUUUCUCCUUAGUGCCCUUGACCGCUCUGGGGCUGAGAGGCAGCUUGCAGGGCCUGUAUUCCCUAGGAAGAAACAGGAGGGGUGGUGGGGGAGGCAGCAAUGGGCUCAGCUGGCAGGCGGCAUAGAGAUGGCCCCUAGAGACCCUGUCUUGGGGCUUGGAGCGUGGCACAGCCGCCACCCAGUUGUGAGCAUAGGACAGGGAGGGAGAGAGGGAGCUGAGUUUCUUCCUAGGAAAUUAGCUUCGGAGAUGGUGCUUGGGACCUUUAACCCUGUACUCAAAGGCAGCCUCUGUGGGGUGAGCUGGGACCAGAUGUCUGGUUUGCAGAGGCCUCUUCUGAGAGGGCAGAUAGGCACAGGAGUUAGGGUAGUUUCUCUGCCUUUUCUUUUUCCUCUCACUUUCUACUAUGUGUUAGGCCCAGUUAUGCCCAAGGAUCUGGCACUUAGCCUAACAAGGUAUGGUGUAUACCUAACUAAAAAAUCUCUCAUGUGUGGAUAGUACUUUACAGUUUACAAAGCCCUUUCAUCUCCAGUCUAAGAAUUAAAAGCCGGGACUGGAUUUUAAAUAUUUUAAGAUUCUAAAGCCUGCGCCAACAGUUUUUGAUGUGGUGUCACACGGCAGUCUAAAUUUGAGUGGUUUUUAUCUGCCUUAUGUUCAGCUGUUUUCUUCUAGUCUGAGACCCCCACUUUUUUUUUCAGGGGGAUGAUUAUUAAAUAUUACCCACUCCAACCAAGCCUCUUUAAAUAGAAGCUAUUAUCUUUGCCUAGCAGUUCACAGCAUAGAGAAUAUUGGUUUUCAUGAAUCUGUAUUUGCUGGAUAACACGGUGAUGGUAGUGGUGAGCUGUCUUGUGAUUGAUCUUCAGGAUUUAUCCUUCAUGGCACCAGAUUUCUAGGUCUGAUAGGUUAAGGGAACCUCUGAGGCACACAGGUGCUUCACCCUAGUACACAGAAUGACCUUGGUCAAGCCACCUAAGCCUCAGCUUCCUUUUAUAUAACAUGGGGAUAACUCAUUCACUCAUUCAGCAAAUAUUUAUUGAGUAUGCACUGUUCUGGGAGAUGAACCAAAAGACAGAGUCCCUGCCCUCCCAGAGCUUGUGAUCUAGUGAGUCUAAACUGCAGCAAUUUAUUGAGAGGGACAAAUAGAUAAGUAUAUAGUAGAAAGUCAGGUAGAAGUGCCAUGAAGCAAAAUUAAAGCAUGGCAAGGGUGUGUUGCUGCUGCUACUAAGUCACAUCAGUUGUGUCCGACUCUGUGCAACCCCACAGAUGGCAGCCCACCAGGCUCCUCUGUCCCUGGGAUUCUUCAGGCAAGAAU